rnacentral:rRNA from 1 species
GUUGUCGUCAGCUCGUGUCGUGAGAUGUCGGUUAAGUCCGCUAACGAGCGCAACCCUCGCUGUGUGUUACAAGUGUCACACGGGAACUGCCGGUCAUAAACCGGAGGAAGGUGGGGAUGACGUCAAGUCAGCAUGGCCUUUAUAUCCUGGGCUACACACACGCUACAAUGGGAAGGGACAAUAGGUUGCGAAGCCGCGAGGCGGAGCCAAUCCAGCAAAACUUCCCUCAGUUCAGAUUGCAGGCUGCAACUCGCCUGCAUGAAGUUGGAGUUGCUAGUAAACGCAGGUCAGCCAUACUGCGUUGAAUACGUUCCCGGGGCUU